GGAAUAGAGUUUAUGGUUUUGACUAGUUUCUAUUUGGAUUCUGUGCUAUGUUUUGAUGGUUUGUUCUUGUAAUUUUUUGGUGUAAUUUGAGCCAGAUCAUAUUGGCACUCAAAUUGUUGCUCGUAUUUUGGUUAAGGCACUGAUGGCAAUGCCUACUCCCGAUUUCAACCUUUGUCUCUUCCUAAUUCCAGAAAGAGUGUGCCAUGCUUGCUGGCCCAAAAUGGGCACCAUUUGCUUCUUGGCUCACUGGCUGGUAAUUAUAUCUUUGCUUUGUCUCAACUGAAUCAUCUCUUGGUAAUCUAAAGUCUUUCACUUUAGGGAUCUGCACUGGUUGACUUAC